ACAAAAGUUAUGAGAACUCAAUGAGUUUAAAGAUGGCGGAAGCUCAGUGCUUUAUUCCAUGCAAAAUUGCAUGGCUGAACACCUUGAAGCCUUAGAAAUAGACUGGCCAAUGGAUUGGCCUUGAUAGGACUCUACUCCUCUUUUCAAAGGAGCCCAACUAACAGCUGCCUUCUGGUUUUUACUUGGAACUCAACUAAAAACCUUACAAACGUGUCAGAACUUGGAGAUGAGCAGAUCGCACAGCUUUUCUACACAGUGCUGUAGCUACCGUCUUCCUGGUGUGAGACUUUCCUAGGACUUCAGUAAAUGGAAUCGGACAUUUGGUAACAGCACAGAGAAGACAAUGACCAAUAUUCUCUUGGAAGACUUAGAAAAUGGAGAUCCAGGUGGUUUUGUUCAUCUUUGAGCCCUGCAGGUGCAUCCCUGUUUGAUGAUGAUCCUGUCCUGAAUCACCAGGAGGAGACCGCCUGGAUGUUCACGGGCAGCGUUCUUCAAGGCACACAGUAGGGGGUUGAUAAGUUGUUCAUAAAGCCAAAUAAACCAUGCGCGAAUAAGCUUAAUAUUCCAUCCAAAUAUUUUGUGACUCAUUGGUAAUACCUUUUAAGGAUCACUUAACAAGCAGCAGCAAAUAGUGACUUUUUCCACUUAAAAGAUAUUUGAGACAUAACCCUUACAUCUAUGCAAAUUGAGAGGAAGGCCAGGUAGGUACCCUGAAGCUCUUUCCAAAGAAAUCUAAAUUUUAUCUUUGUUUCCUAAAAUCCAGUUAAUUCCCAGUCCCCCCGAUCUCAGGUCAAACACUCAGGUUGUUUGAUUCUUGAGGGUUGGGUCAGAAUUGCAUGCUUAUUUCCCUCCCUGCUGCACUCUGAUGCCCUGUAAAACCAGUCCAGCCCAGGAGUGCCUUGUCCAUACGCACCUUGCCACAUGGCUGAUACCCUACACCCUCUCCCACCAGUAAAUAUUAAACUCUGUGUCAUUAUGCUCUGCUCUCCAAAACCCUACCAGUGAUCACAAAGUGCUGUCUGUGGCAUUUGGAGAUGCCACCAAACUUCCAAUUCUCCCCCAAGAUUCCAAGAUACGAACUUUCCUUGUUUUCUUACCUCUCUUGUUGUUCCUUCUCUGUUACUGUUCCUAAUUUUUUUUCCUCCUUCCUGUGGUUGCUGGAAGUGGGGUGGGGCAAUAGCGACCUGUCCUUCAAUUUGUGUUCCAGUUGUCCAAGGAAUGUUGCCUUUGGAGUGUCCAAUUAUUGCUUCCAAGUCCACAUGUUCAUUUGUUCAUUAAAAUAUAUCAAG
rnacentral:lncRNA from 1 species